CUGUUUACAGCGUGUAGCCUCUUCAGCGGCUGGAGCCGACAACGUUUGCAUCACUCUUCUCCUUUGGCUUGUUCACCAAGUCUGUACCAACCAUAUAGCAGAUAGAAGACACCUGUUUCAGCAUGACACUUUUCAGGGAGGGCUACUCAGAGGGUACAGAUCCCACACAGGGCCGACCCAACGCAAAGAUCUGCACCCAGGUCUUAGGAGCAGGAAACACUGCCACAACCACAGUCAGCUGGACAUGUCGACAUGUGUUAUUAUAUGGAGUUAUAUUCCUAUCUUUAUUCAAGAGCGCAUUCUUUC